CAACUUCCCAGCAAGAGACCUACAUUGAGCUCUUAACGUAGCAUUAUUUCUCAAAGAUCUCAACUACUUACUUGGUGACUAUCUGUAAGAGCCCUACUAUCCUAGGGCUUUAAGAAGACCUGAUGCACAGACAAUCCUGAGAAAUAUGACAUCUGACUAGGGGACCUGUUUAACACUGAAGAAGACAUGAGGGGCUCCUGGAAGAUGACGGCAUCUGAUGAAGUGCUCUGGUGCUUCCAAAUAUAUCAUCAUUCUGUUAGAAAACCAAACACAUGAAGAGCCCAAUCAACACCCUGGGAGAACGAGGCAUCUCAUGUGAACCCCCAUCAAAGUGCGAAGCCUCAGAAUUAUAAUUAAGAAACCAAACCUCAGGCAAGGACCUGAAGCACAGUAGAUCACCACAUCCAGACAAUCAGACCCCAGACCUCUCAUCCAUCAUGACUGCUUUGUUAUCCCUUCCUAAUUCCUGUUUUCCUGCUGCAUUCCUUCCCACAGGUAGCUAUAUUUCUUCCCUGUUCUAUAAACCAACAAUUUUAUUCAGUUGGGAGAGAUGGAUUUGAGGUUUGGUUUCCAUCUCUUUAGCUGACAUCACCUGAAUAAAAAGCCUUCUUCUCUGUC